GGGAGGCGUAGCGCUUCGCUGGCGCCGCCGCCGCUGCGGAGGCUGUGUGUGUGUGAAGGUGAAGCGGCCGGGGCGCUCGGGUUGCACACUUGUCCAAUCCAGGAAGCUGCCAAGGAAAUUUGCAGUUGGAAACCACAUAAGUCUGUGAUUCUCAUGCAUUCUCCCAGCACAGCCCACUCCUUAGAGGAACUCUAAAGUAAAAUUUUACCCGCUUUUCAAUGCCA